rnacentral:tRNA from 1 species
CAGAAAAUAGUUUAAGAAAAAUUUUAAUUUUGGAGAUUAAUGAUAUAAAUAGUUUUAUUUUUCUGA